rfam:Wuchereria bancrofti cont1.13196, whole genome shotgun sequence.
GCGUCAAUGGUGUAACGGUAUCAUUGCACCCUCCCAUGGUGCAGACCCGGGUUCGACUCCCGGUUGGCGCA